rnacentral:lncRNA from 1 species
CUUUCCUUUUGUAUUUGUUUCAAAAUGUUUGUGUGGKUUUUUUUGUUUGUKUUUUCUUUUUUUAGGGAGUUCCAUAGGUUACAGCAGCAGUGAACUGGUCUACUUGGAGAAUGCCCUACUACCUGCAAAUAGGGGUUGCUUUGUCUGAGCUGGCACUUAAUGAGAAGAAGCACAACCCACCCAGCUUAAAAUUUAUUUGAUACGGAUAAGUUUUCUGUGCUUGAAGUUAAAUGAGUAGUUUGCAGCUAGAUAUGGUGAUUGGCCUAACCAACUUGCAUCAUGAAAUUGUAAAACUCCUAAUACAGUGCAGGGGAGAGAGAGAGAUUGAGACUGCUCCUCUGCUACUGCGCUCUUACUGUGAUCAACUCUGACCAUCCUAAAAUUGCACCAGUGAUCUCUGUAGUACGUGUGGCUUGCGUUAUCCUUUGGCAGUUUGCUGAGCGUGUGCUCYGGUCCUCAUCCUGGSUGCGAAUGGGUAUGUUUGGACGCCACCGUUGGCCCUGGACAUUUAGCCUUUGCUUACAACCCUGAGAAACGGCAAUCCAGGCAGUUGUUCGGCUCACCUUCCCUUCUGCUAGUUGAGCUCCUGCUUCCUCAGCUUYCAGGUGAGGCUGCAGUGGGAGACUGUCAAAAGCUGUACUAAAGUCCAAGUGUGUCACAUGCACCAUUCAACCUUCAAAAUAGCUUGCAUCAUAUGAGCUUUGUCUGUCAUUUGAUAAAUCUUUGUUAACUGUUUGUGAUUAUCUUCCUGUCCAUAUAUUUAGAAAUGAAUUCCAUGUAGGGUGUUCUGUACUUCUUCCAGAUGCUGAGGUUAAGCUGAA